rnacentral:rRNA from 1 species
GCGCAUGCGCGCGGGAAUUUCGAUGCUCAGUACACGUGAGAACUGCCUACGCUGAGAUACCCUCGGGAAACUGAGAAUAAUGCUCCAUAGCCCCUCCGUCCUGGAACGGUGGAGGGGUGAAAGCUCCGGCGGCGUAGGAUAGCUCUGCGGCCUAUCAGGUCGUAGCGAGGGUAACGUCCUCGCUAGCUUUCGACGGGUAUGGGUGUUGGGAGACAUCGCCCAGAGAUGGAUUCUGAGACACGAAUCCAGGUCCUACGGGACGCAGCAGGCGCGAAAACUGCACAAUGUGGGAAACCACGAUGCGGGAAACCCAAGUGCCAGCACUAUGUGUUGGCUGUCCUCGACUGUUCGUAAGUCGGGAAGAAAGUGCUGGGUAAGACGGGUGCCAGCCGCCGCGGUAAUACCCGCAGCACAAGUGGUGGUCAUUAUUAUUGGGCCUAAAGCGUCCGUAGCUGGCCUGUUAGAUGCCUGGGUAAAUCGAUGCGCUCAACGUAUCGAAUUCCGGGUAGACCGGCAGGCUCGAGACCGGGAGAGGUGUAGGCUACUCGCGGGGUAGGGGUAAAAUCCUGUAAUCCUGCGGGGAGGACCAGUGGCGAAGGCGCUACACUAGAACGGCUCUGACAGUGAGGGACGAAGCCCUGGGGCGCAAACCGGAUUAGAUACCCGGGUAGUCCAGGGUGUAAACGCUGCAGACUUGGUGUCGGUGAUCCUACGAGGGUUGCCGGUGCCGUAGAGAAGUUGUUUAGUCUGCCGCCUGGGGAGUACGGUCGCAAGACUGAAACUCAAAGGAAUUGACGGAAUCACUAGUG